CCUUACACCAAAAACAACCACCACUAGCACCAAAUCAGCCACCACCUACCGCACCUCAACCACCUGAUUAAAACCCCCCUCCACCCCAUCCCCACCACUAGAACCGUCCCUUCCAUUUUCGACCACCACUGCCCACCCCACCCUGAGCUACCCCCACAGCCCGAAACUACCACAAAACCCCACCACCACCAACCACCACCACUACCCCAAGACCCUAAUUCCGUCAGCCACCCUAUAACCCACCCAAGCACCCCGAAACCACCCCUUAUCCUUCCCAGACCCCGAUUCCCUUCCCUAGCCCCCGAUAAUCGCCCACUCCCCUUCCCAUGCAUUGGAGUGUGAAGCUGAGGUUUGCGGAGCUGUGGCCUGUGCUAGGUGCGGAGGUUGGGAUUUGGUGCGGUGGUGUUGUUGGGUGCUGUUGCGGUGGAAAGAGAAGGCAAACAGGGCAGUUAGGUGUGUGGUGUGGUUGGUUUGUGAUUGGAGGAGGAGAUACGUGCGGUGGUGCAGGGGAUGGUUGUGGUGGUUUGUGGGCUGCUGUGAAUUGAUGUGGCAAAGGUGAGAGAAAGAAGAAACAGUAGGGGUGGGUUUUUUUUU